GCACCCGUAGCUCAGCGGAUUAGAGCACUGGUCUUCGGAAUCAGGUGUCGCGGGUUCAAAUCCUGCCGGGUGCG
rnacentral:tRNA from 1 species